GACGAACGCUGGCGGCGUGCUUAACACAUGCAAGUCGAACGGAAAGGCCCUGCUUUUGUGGGGUGCUCGAGUGGCGAACGGGUGAGUAACACGUGAGUAACCUGCCCUUGACUUUGGGAUAACUUCAGGAAACUGGGGCUAAUACCGGAUAGGAGCUCCUGCUGCAUUGUGGGGGUUGGAAAGUUGCGGCGGUUGGGGAUGGACUCGCGGCUUAUGAGCUUGUUGGUGGGGUAGUGGCUUACCAAGGGUUUGACGGGUCGCCGGCCUGAGAGGGUGACCGGGAACAUGGGGACUGAGGGAGGGAGGAGUGGGGUAUGGGGGGCAGCAGGGGGGAAUAGUGGCCAGUGAGAGGGAGUGGGAUACAGCAGCGCUGGGUGUGGGAGGACGGUCUUCGGGUAGAAAAAAGCAGUAGGCUGAGACGAAGCGGUAGUGACGGUAAGGAGUGAAGAAGCACCGGCUAACUACGUG
rnacentral:rRNA from 1 species